AAAUUAUGUAAUGUUACUCGAAAUGUUUGAGACGUUUCAUUGGGCAUGCGCAAUGUAGCACAACUCCCCUCGCCACACUUUGCUGAAGCUCAUGGACUGAAGAUGGUUUGAGCAUCCACUCAAGGUUUCCUCUUGAUUGAAUUCUGCCAAGCAGUGGACUUUCAUCUGAUGUAACUUGUGUGCACACUACAGUACUUCAUGGCCUUUCAAUCCUCCUGGGGGAUAAUUCUAUGGACGUUUUCAGGACAUGCAUUGAUUCAGAUGUGAAUAGACCUGAGUGCAGCUGAUGUUGGCCUGCUCACAGUUUUACCAGAAGACAUGCCUGCCCAAACUCCACAUGCCCUCAAUGUCGACUCAUUAAGGGCAAUCAUUCUCGAGGGAAAAAUUGUGGUUGGUGAUGUCUCAAACUUGCCACAUGCUGUAUGUUUUUGUUUUUGACAAAUUAAAUGUUACAAAGAUUUAAAAUUCUUUUUUAAAAAAGUUAUUUGAUGUCAAGUGGCAGUUAUUGAUGGUCCCCAUGCUAUUUAGUUAGAAGUAUAUAUUUAUAUAUUUAGUAUUUCUUCUGCAUUGUUCUUAAAACUCUGUUUAUUGUUUAUUAAAAAAACUUCAGAGUUUUA